GUGCACUGAGACACAUGAAACAUAUUUGUUUUCAAGGUGAAGUGAAUGAGUGAAAUUAAAUACGCCUUGGCUUAUAGAUUAUUACAUUAUAUAUUUAACAUAGACUUAACAUCAUGUAGUCCGAAUAUAUACACUUAUUAUAGGCGUAUCAUAGUGAUUCAGGAUAAGACAAAAACACAGGUUGGAAGAUUAUUACUCAUUAAAUACAUUUUGUAAAUUUUGAACAAAAGUUAUAUGGUAUAGUAAAUGUACCUCUACUGACAGUCUACGCAACUGAAGUGAAAGUGCGUCAGAGUUCACCUGUCGACAUUUUAAGCAGGUAAAAUACCAAUACCAUAGAUGAUUAAUAGAAACGUUCAUCAAAGUUUAAGCAAGAAUUUCUGUGUAUCUUUAUGAUGUUAAAGCUGGAGGAUUUGAGAAGCUGUAUCUUGUAAUAGUUUGAUCGAGGUGAGUGUUCAUGUGUGGUGACUUCCUCAUAUUAAUAUGAAUUUCUGGAGGACAUUUUGAGUGAUUGUUUUUUUUAUAUAUAUAAAUUCUUUAAUAAAGGGUUUCUUUCACUGUGAUUCUUUAGAAGUUUAACAGCAUAUGUGUAAACAUGAAUGAGUCACAUGAUCCUUUUUCUCCCACACUCGAGAUAUGUUCAGUUAAAUUAGAAAGGUUGUUUAAUUUAAUAAUUGAAUUUAGUGUCUGAAUGUUUUGUUCAUUCAGAGUCAGUGGAGGAGAUCAAACUCAUCAGAUUCUCCUGCAGCUUCAUCAUGGCUGAUUCAGAUAUUAAAGAGUUUAUGUCAAGUAAGGAAUAAAUGACGAUGGGUCUUUAAAUUCUUAGAAAAUAAUGCACACCCGAGGUGGUAAUGUGGCCACGGCGUGAAGAGGGUCUCAUCCUUGGUGAACAGUUUCAGGUCAUCCAUGUAAAAUAGGAGUCUGACUUCACUGUUAUUGUCGACUUCAAAUCCAAUACAUCGUCUGUUUAGCAUGUUUGUUAGAGGUAUCAUCGCUAAACAACAAAAUCCAUUGCUGCCAAAAUUCAGAAAUGGGGUAGAUUGUCAAAUGUUUUUUUCUAGUCUAUCCGCGCCCCAGGAUUCUUAGGCAAUUCUUGGCUAUUGAAACAACCAUUUUGCUCACUAGCAGCUGAUCUUUUACAUCCUCUAGACGCCCUUCUACAACCUUUCUGUUCAUCAGUUUUCAUUUAGUAGAUCCGAUCCGUUAACGCAGCUGUCAGUAUCUUAUAUGUUGUUGGGAGGCAAGUGAUAGGACAAUAGUUCCUCGGGUCCUUUGUAUCCUUGCCUUUUGAGAGCAGGAAGGUGGUUCAGAUGUUAACCACACAGGAAUACUCCUUGGAUCAUUCAUGAUAUGAUUCAAAGCUUUUGUUAGUACUUCAUGAAGAGCUGUUAAUGGUUUAAAGCAGAAGUUUUGAAUUGUAUCUGGCCCAGGAGAUUUCCAGUUCUGAGUUUGUUUGAUGACCUGAACUCUCUUCAGCUGUGAAGUUCUGCCAUGAAUUUGAUCUCAUCUGUUCAUGGUUAUUCCUCUUCUGUUCGAUCCAUGUUGCUUUAUCAUUGUGGACGAUAUUGUCUUCAAGGAUUCCACGCCAAAUAAUUGUGACUUGGUCCUGAGAAGGUGGUUCAAUGAUGCCAGUUUUCUGAUUGUUCAUCUGAUGAUAGAAGUUUUUAGCAUCUUCGUUGAAGAUUUUGUUCUGAUGGAAGUGAUUACUUCUUUUUGUGUUCCUUCUCCAUCUUUGAGCUUUUGGUGUGGUGAUGAUAAAAUAGACAAGUAAUGAUAAUAAAUAGAUUCAAAACAAAGCUGGAGCUACAGAC